rnacentral:snRNA from 1 species
AGCCUCUUUUGGGAGAAAAUGGG